rnacentral:lncRNA from 10 species
UCCUGGUGGGCUUUGGUUGCAUUCCAGCCUUUGUAUAAGGACACUGGCUCUCUCAGCUUUCAGUAUGUAGCUCAACACUCAGUCAGGGCUGAGACAGUUGUUACGGAGGCCUGCCUGUUCAGCUGUUAGUGACACCUGGCCUGCCACAAAAAUCUCCUUGGUUGGCAUGAAAUAGCCUCUCCAAUCUGUCUAAUUGACUUAUCUGGUCUUCUAUCACUCUUUUCAGCUCCUCAGAAACUCUGCUCCAGGCAGAUGAGACUAAUUUUUGUCCUUCAGCUCCACCUGCACCAAUCACCUCCAAAUUUCUGCUCAUACAGUACCCUCCGCGUAGAUGCCUUUCUUCUUCAUGCUCGAGUCCCUUAUUUUCAUGGAGCCUUUCCUGUCGGCUCACACAGAUUGUGUGCUCCUGUGUGACAAGAGUGGUCGAUUCCGAUUGAUUUGUCCAGAAUUGAACUCCUUGUUUUCCUCAUCGCGUGGCCCCCACUUGUUGGAAACCUGAAAAGACUACAUUUCCCAGACUCCCUUAUGGGUGAUGUUGGGAGCCUAUGACCAUGUUCUGACCAGUGCUGUGUAGAUGGAACGCUGGCCACUUCCAGAGUUGACCAUAAGACACGACUCUCUUCUUUCCUCCUGUGGGAAUCCAGGAACCCACAUGUUCCAGGUGGCAGAGUUAUAGUAUGGAAGCAGCUCCUAUCUCUGAGUUACCACUCGGAGGAGACCCACCAAGUAGGGCCACUGAAGGGACAAUGACUUCGAAUGAGAAAGAGGUAAGAAACCUAGGCCUCGAGGGGUUCAUUUACCUUCCGUGGUCAAAGAUCUAGCAGUGGCAGCAGCAGACGCAAGCGCAACUAGGUGUCCUCUGGAGGACUGAGGUCUCCACCACCUUGGAGGAAAUCAAGACGCAGAG